rnacentral:rRNA from 1 species
CCUACGGGAGGCUGCAGUGGGGAAUAUUGGGCAAUGGGCACAAGCCUGACCCAGCAAAGCCGCGUGAAGGAAGAAGGCUUUCGGGUUUUAAACUUCCUUUGACAGGGAAGCGUAGAAGACGGUACCUGCCGCAUCAGCCACGGCUAACUACGUGCCAGCAGCCGCGGUCAUACGUAGGUGGCAAGCGUUUUCCGGGUUUACUGGGUGUAAAGGGCGUGUAGGCGGUUUGAGAAGUCAUAUGUGAAAUCCUGGGGCUUCACCGCAGAACUGCAGUUGAACCUGUUGGUCUUGAGUACGGGAGAGGCAGGCGGAAUUCGUAGUGUAGCGGUGAAAUGCGUAGAUAUUAGGAGGAACACCAGUGGCGAAGGCGGUCUGCCGGAGAGCAACUGACGGUGAGGCGCGAAAGCGUGGGUAUCAAACAGGAUUAGAUACCCGAGUAGUC